rnacentral:lncRNA from 10 species
GUCAAAGGAAGUUAGUACAUUAAACAAAUGGUGGUAGGAGGGAGGAUUUGGCCCAACUGGCUCCAACCUAUCUGGUCAACACGUAUGUUGGGUAGAACAGAGGUGGAGAAAAGCCUAGAUCAGGGAUGUAUACGCUUCCUUGGGGCAGACGCAGCCUGGCCCUGCGGAGCGAUUUCAAGCCUCGUUCACGAACAUGGCCAAGGACACUGCCAGCCUCUUCAUUCCCCUGUGUGGAUGCUCCAACUCCAAAAGUGGAACCACAGGGCAAAUGAAUGUCGGCACGUGUCGGUAUGGCAGCCUCGCUCUUCGACAGCUGGUGUGGGGGUUACCACCUGGGGCUAGCUGGCCUCAUCUUCGUUAGCACUGAGACUGGUCUACCAGUUGCACAGAUUCAGAUUUGAAAAUCUCAGGUGCAAAUCCCAAGUGGCGAUGGCAUGUAACCACAUCAAACUCAACAUCUGCACCUAACUCCCACCUUCUUUCUCUGGGAAAUCUUCCUGGACAUGCCCAGAUGGACUCAGGAGCCCAUCACCUGUAAAUCCCCACACUGCAGCCCUGCCACUUGCUUGUCUGCAUGUGUGGGUCCGCUGGACCACUUUGGUGUAUCUUUGAGCCCCUUGAGUGAAAAAAUGCUGCCUGGCUGGCUCCCUGAUUAGACAUCCAACAUAAUGAGGACUAACACCAAUACAAACACUUAAGAGAUGACAUAUCGCCCUAGCUGGAUCUACUACAGGGAAGGGAAGAGGGUGCUGGGUCCAGGCAGGCUGAGUGUCUCAUGUCUUAAUGCUUCUCUGCCCAAUCUAUUUCCGGCUGGAUGUGGAGUCUGAAGGCCUGGCACCCACUCUGGCUCUGUGAUUUACCAGCUGUGAGCCUUGGGGGAGCUGCUUACUCUCUUGGUGAUUCUUUUCUCAUUUCUAUGAUGGGGUAGAGGAUAAUGCCUAUGCUUACAAAGUGGCUGUGGGAAGUAAACCGGAUGGGAUAAGAAUGGCUUGCUGUGGACCACAGGCACCGCAGGAUAACCAUUCCUCAGAACUCCUCAUACUGCUCUAGUGCUUGGAGGUCCGUGUAUUACCUCAGCUAUUCCAACCGCACCAACCACGGGAGCCACGUGUCUACGUCUGACAGAUAAAGAUGCUGAGUUUAGAGUCUGCAAGGCUUGACAACCACAGAUCAGGGACAGGAGCUGAGGUCUCCUGACCUGGAGCCCAGGGCCACCCGGAGCUGCAAGAAACCUGCACUCACAACUGCCUCCUAUUUUAAAAUGCUGAGUCGAUCCCACAGGUGGCAAACCAGUUCUGGGCUUCAAUUUACAAGCAGUCAGAAAAGCUGGGUUGAAAUCGCCACUGUCCUUCUAUGUGGCUGAUGAGGAAGGAUGACGGUGCCCACCGCUCCAUCUCUCCAGCUGACCCCAAGCUGGCACUCACGGGUGGGCAGGCUCAGACAGGCCCAGCUCCACCAAGUGCACUUGAAGCCGGAAUGCAAGACAUCCGAUGGUAUACUUACUCGAACCCGUCCUUUUCACAACAGCCGCGGGAUCCGCUUUCUUUGGCUGACUGCUCAGAGUCUUCCCUUUUCCUGUGACCCCAUUAGACGCCACGGGGGGCUUUUUACCCUUGAGCUGUUGAAAUAAACAUAUAAGAACAUUAAAAAUAAACACAAAGUCAAACAAA